rnacentral:lncRNA from 1 species
AUUUGGAAUCCCCUCCAACAUCAUCUAUCGUGGUGCGCUGUAAAGUCUCAAAUGAUUCAAAUUAGUGGAUGGAUGAUUCACAAACAAUAAACACACCAUUUAUUGCUUGCUCCAGCUUGAUGUUUUUUUUCGAAGAGCAUUCGUACGGUCUACCUUCCAAGUGAUAAAUAAGUUCAUCGAUCAUAUUUUUGUUUUGUGUGUUUGUGCUUGAACUUAUGGGUUUGUGGUUUGGUAGCUUGGUUUAUGCGGCCAGUGAUUAUGUGGAAUUAAUUAACAUGUAACUUUUGGAUGUUUGGUGUCCAUCUCGAAUGACGGGGAAGGAAAAUAAUAAUUAUCAAUG